rnacentral:rRNA from 1 species
AUUGAACGCUGGCGGCAGGCCUAACACAUGCAAGUCGAACGAGUGGCGGACGGGUGAGUAAUGUCUGGGAAACUGCCUGAUGGAGGGGGAUAACUACUGGAAACGGUAGCUAAUACCGCAUACCAUCGGAUGUGCCCAGAUGGGCUUAGCUAGUAGGUGGGGAAAAGGCUCACCUAGGCGACGAUCCCUAGCUGGUCUGAGAGGAUGACCAGCCACACGGGAACUGAGACACGGUCCAGACUCCAAGGGGGGGCAGAAGGGGGGAAUAUUGCACAAUGGGCGAAAGCCGGAGGCAUCCAGGCCGGGUGUGUGAAGAGGCCUUCGGGUUGUAAAGCACUUUCAGCGAGGAGGCGUUACUCGCAGAAGAAGCACCGGCUAACUCCGUGCCAGCAGCCGCGGUAAUAC